rnacentral:rRNA from 1 species
CCUACGGGAGGCAGCAGUGGGGAAUAUUGCACAAUGGGGGAAACCCUGAUGCAGCGACGCCGCGUGAGUGAAGAAGUAAUUCGUUAUGUAAAGCUCUAUCAGCAGGGAAGAAAAUGACGGUACCUGAGUAAGAAGCCCCGGCUAACUACGUGCCAGCAGCCGCGGUAAUACGUAGGGGGCAAGCGUUAUCCGGAUUUACUGGGUGUAAAGGGAGCGUAGACGGCAGGGCAAGUCUGGAGUGAAAGGCGGGGGCUCAACCCCCGGACUGCUCUGGAAACUGUACGGCUGGAGUGCAGGAGAGGUAAGUGGAAUUCCUAGUGUAGCGGUGGAAUGCGUAGAUAGUAGGAGGAACACCAGUGGCGAAGGCGGCUUACUGGACUGUAACUGACGUUGAGGCUCGAAAGCGUGGGGAGCAAACAGGAUUAGAUACCCUGGUAGUC